rnacentral:rRNA from 1 species
UGGGGAAUAUUGGACAAUGGGCGAAAGCCUGAUCCAGCCAUGCCGCGUGUGUGAAGAAGGUCUUCGGAUUGUAAAGCACUUUAAGUUGGGAGGAAGGGCAGUAAGCGAAUACCUUGCUGUUUUGACGUUACCGACAGAAUAAGCACCGGCUAACUCUGUGCCAGCAGCCGCGGUAAUACAGAGGGUGCAAGCGUUAAUCGGAAUUACUGGGCGUAAAGCGCGCGUAGGUGGUUCGUUAAGUUGAAUGUGAAAGCCCCGGGCUCAACCUGGGAACUGCGUACAAAACUGGCGAGCUAGAGUAGGGCAGAGGGUGGUGGAAUUUCCUGUGUAGCGGAGAAAUGCGUAGAUAUAGGAAGGAACACCAGUGGCGAAGGCGACCACCUGGGCUCAUACUGACACUGAGGUGCGAGAGCGUGGGGAGCAAACAGG